UAACCUACGGGGCGCAGCAGUGGGGGAUAUUGCACAAUGGGGGAAACCCUGAUGCAGCGACGCCGCGUGUGGGAAGACGGUCCUCUGGAUUGUAAACCACUGUCCCCAGGGACGAAAAUGACGGUACCUGGGGAGGAAGCUCCGGCUAACUACGUGCCAGCAGCCGCGGUAAUACGUAGGGAGCGAGCGUUGUCCGGAAUUACUGGGUGUAAAGGGAGCGUAGACGGCAGUGCAAGUCUGAAGUGAAAGGCGGGGGCCCAACCCCCGGACUGCUUUGGAAACUGUGCUGCUGGAGUGCAGGAGCG
rnacentral:rRNA from 1 species